UGGGGAAUUUUGCACAAUGGGGGAAACCCUGAUGCAGCGACGCCGCGUGAUUUAGAAGGCCUUCGGGUUGUAAAAUUCUUUUUUAUGGGAGGAAAAUGACAGUACCAUAAGAACAAGGUCCGGCAAAAUACGUGCCAGCAGCCGCGGUAAUACGUAUGGACCGAGCGUUGUCCGGAAUCAUUGGGCGUAAAGGGUACGUAGGCGGCCCAGUAAGUUAGAAGUGAAAUAAUAUAGCUCAACGAUAUAAAGCUUUUAAAACUGCUAGGCUUGAGAGAUGGAAGGGAAAGUGGAAUUCCUAGUGUAGCGGUGAAAUGCGCAGAUAUUAGGAGAAAUACCGGUGGCGAAGGCGUCUUUCUGGCCAUAAUCUGACGCAGAGGUACGAAAGCGUGGGUAGCAAACAGG
rnacentral:rRNA from 1 species